AGUGAACGCUGGCGGUAGGCCUAACACAUGCAAGUCGAACGGCAGCACAGUAAGAGCUUGCUCUUACGGGUGGCGAGUGGCGGACGGGUGAGGAAUACAUCGGAAUCUACUUUUUCGUGGGGGAUAACGUAGGAAAACUUACGCUAAUACCGCAUACGACCUACGGGUGAAAGCAGGGGAUCUUCGGACCUUGCGCGAUUGAAUGAGCCGAUGUCGGAUUAGCUAGUUGGCGGGGUAAAGGCCCACCAAGGCGACGAUCCGUAGCUGGUCUGAGAGGAUGAUCAGCCACACUGGAACUGAGACACGGUCCAGACUCCUACGGGAGGCAGCAGUGGGGAAUAUUGGACAAUGGGCGCAAGCCUGAUCCAGCCAUACCGCGUGGGUGAAGAAGGCCUUCGGGUUGUAAAGCCCUUUUGUUGGGAAAGAAAAGCAGCAGGUUAAUACCCCGCUGUUCUGACGGUACCCAAAGAAUAAGCACCGGCUAACUACGUG
rnacentral:rRNA from 1 species